ACAGUGAGAAGUGGGACCAGUGCUGGGUCCUUCCCUUGCUGCUGAUGUCCCCCAGGCUCACCCUCCCAGGGGUGGAUUUUACCUUUGAGGAGGACAAUCCCUGACCUUCAAACCCACAGUUUUGGGGAGUCUCCCAGAGGAAAAUAGUGUCAAAGCCAUGCCAGCUCUGCACAAGCAGAUAUUCCCACCUGCUGAUAACAUCCAUGGAAUCUAAGAGUGUUAUAAAAGAGAAAAUUACCAAGUUGGAGGGUCA
rnacentral:lncRNA from 1 species